rnacentral:lncRNA from 1 species
CUCCUUGGAGCCAUUCUGCAUUUGGACUUCUUGCAUGAGAUAAAUUUUAUUUUUUAAGCCACUUCAAGUUGAUUUUCAACUGCAGCUGAAGGCAGCCCAACCAAAACAGAGGAUAUGGUGGGAAUUAAGGUGAAAAAGACAAGCAGAUAAGAUCCCACAUACAGAAACAGGAGUCAGAAUGAAGUCAGACUUCUCAGCAACAACCAUGAAAGCUAGAUGAUGAAAUUUGAAGGAAAAGAUUUUCCAAUAUAGAAUUUUCAGACCAGCCAAAUUAUCAUUUAAGUAUGAAAGUAGAAUAGGAAUAUUUUAAUACACAAAAGGUCUCAAAAAUUAUACCUGCACUGAAUUCUUUAUAGGAAACCAGAAAGAAUGUGCUUCUCCAAAAUGAGGGAGUAAACCAAAAAAGAGAAAGACAUGGAAUCCAGUACACAAGAACCUCCCUUAGGAGAGGAAGACAUGAAGUACAGUAGACAAGACAUCCUUCAAAAAAGGAAGACAUGGAAUCCAGUAGACAAGACCAGACCUCUAUCACGAGGGAAGACAGAGCCCUGUAUUUCCUUGGGAAACUACCCCACCCCACUUUUAGUACUCAUUGUUUGGGUGCACCUGACCAUGCCCCAAGUUCAAGAAAUGAUCACAUGCUAUUGGCUUACACUGAUCAACAUAAGUACCACCAUAAGUAGCAAUAAUUCUGGCUACGGUGAUUGGCGCAAGGAUGAAAGAAGGAAUCAAGUUAACCCAAACAGCAUAUAUCCCAGAACCUUUGGGAGAGUUUAUAGCAAAAGAAGUGUUUUCCAUCUUGGGACUGUGAAGACAUAAGCCUGAAACUCCUGGGAACAGAUGGGGCACAGCUGACCCAAUGAACAGAACAAGGAGAUGGAGCAAGACAGCUUCCUAAAACCUAUUCCGAGCAUCUGAAUUCAGCCAUGCUAGAUGUUACAUCUACUCAUGGAUUUUAAAUCUACAAGAGGUAAUAAUUCCCCCUCCUCUCUUUGUUUUGCUGUUUUGUCUGAUCCUGUUUGGAUUCAGGUAUCUAUAAUGUGUGAAAGAAAGAAUACUCCCAGAUACAGACAUUUACCAAAGUCAACUAUAAUAGGAAGGAGGAUGUCCAAGUGGAAGAAACUGAGUAAUGGGAGGUUGAGCUCUAUAUUUAUUUCAUAACAGGUUUUAUCUUUUUUUGACCAUCCACUUUAUGGAGCUGAGAAUACUAAGGCUCAUGGUCACACUUAGUUAAUGAAAGAACUGACUUAAACUCAGGUCUUCUGACUACAAACUCAAUUCCCUUUAUAACACUCUGCCACAAAAUUACUACACAUAACUACAUAAUACAAAGCAAUGUAUAUGUGUAUACAUUUAUACCCACUUCGGCUAUCUCCUCCAAACUCUGAGACAGCAGUAUAAGGGAGAGUUGGAUAGGAGUCUGUCAAUGGUAACCUCCCAAAUAUCUUCUAUGUGAUUCUUCCAUCCCCACUGUCACUGUCUGUGGUUAGCUCUCACCUCCCAAGUUCCUUGCUGAAAAAAAUUGUACAUUUUCUUCUAUUAAUACAUAUUUUCAUCUUUCAUAUUUAUGCUCUUAAAUAAUUUUUAGUUUACCUCUGUACAUAAUGUUAGGAAGAUAUCCAGUUUUAUUGUUUCCAUAUGGCAACUUAGUUUCUUAUCUAUUUCUGUGUUAACAACAUCCAGUAUUUCUUAUUGCAUCUUUGUAAUAUGCCCUAAUAUCUGGUAAAGCAAGACCUACUUUUUAUUCUACUUUUCUAAGGUUGACUUAGCUAUUUAUGGAC